GGUACAUCCCUAAUCCAGUAUGACUGGUGUCCCUAUAUGAAGAGAAAGACACAACUGGGAUGACAAAUAGAGAAGAUGAUGUGAAGUCAUCAGAUGAUAGCCAUCUGCAAGCCAGAGGGCCAGGACAGAUCCUUCUAUCAAGACCACCAACCCUGCUGGCACCUUCAUCUUGGGCUUCCAGAACUUUGAGCAAAUAAACUUCUCUUGUGCGAGCCACCCAGUCUGUGGUGGUUUGUUGUGGCGGCUCUAGCAAGUGAAUACAGUAAGCAAUAAGCAAAAACGUUUAUAGAUUGUCCAAAAGCCUUAAUAUUCACAUGCAAAGCCAUGCUGGAGAGAAACUAUAUGAAUGUAAGACAUGGGAAAGCCUUCAUUGAGUCUUCAGUCCUUUCUACAUACCGGAGGAAUUACGUAGGAGAGAAAUUGUAUGAAUGUAAGGUGCAUGAAAAGCCUGUGAAUGUUCACUGUAUUUGUAUUUUAAUAUUCACAUGCAAGUUGUCUGGAUAUAGACCGUAUGAAAAUAGAGGGGAAAAAAGGAAAGAAAGUUUCUUUUACUGUGAAAGUAAGGAAUGUGACCCAAUACACCAUAUUGGAACUUGGAGUGGACCGAAACCCCAUUAGGAUUGUGGAAAAGCUUACGUUAAUGUUUUCUACCUUCUAGAAGGUGUAAGAAGUCAAACUGGAGAGAAGCCUUCUACCUGUAAUGCAUGUAGGAAGCCUUACAUUAAUUCCACAGAAAUUUUUUUUUACACAUCUAAAAUUACCUCAAAACCCUGGGAAGGUAAGGAAUGUGGUAUAUCCUUUAAAUAUUUCACAUGCCAUAAUAUUUACCUGAAUUCUCAUAAUACUGUACUGUUUCUUGAGUAGUGUUAGUACCUUAUACUAUCAAAAUAAUCCUAAAUCCUCCCUCAGACCUUCCUUCAUUACUGUAUUUCACUUAUAUGCAUAUACACACACACAAAAUUAGCAUAUGUAAUCUAAUACAUUGUAGCUGUUUUUCAGAAGUUACCUGUUAGAUCAAUUAAGAAUUAGAAAAAUAAACAUUUUUAUUUUACUUCACUUCUAUGCUCAAAGUUGGAUGUAAUUCUUAUACUUGAUCCUCAAAACUUAAAGCAUUUUCCCCCUCAGGCUUCUAUGAACAUUUUUGUUAUCUUUGAUAUUCUGUUAUUUUUAAAUGAUAUGCCUAGGUAUAGGUUUUUGGUGCUUGUCCUGCUUGGUGUUUGCUUAGCCUCCUGGAUUUGUGUUUUGGCGUCAGUUAAUUUUGAGAAAUUCUGUCAUUAUUGUUUCCAAUGUUUCUUUCCCUUUUUGUUGUUUCCAUCUGAUAUUUCCUUUAUAUGUAGGAUACAACUUUUUUAGGUAUUCCACAGUUCUUAUAUCUUGUUUUUUUAUUCUUCUCUUUGCUUUUCAGUUGUGGAUGUUUCUACUGAUAUAUUCUCAAGCUCUUUAGUUGUUUUCUGGCCAAUAAUAAGCCUACCAAAGACAUUCUUCAUUUCUGUUGCUGUCUUCAAUCUCUUGCAAUUCUUUGUGGUUCUUAGAAUUUCCGUUCUUUGUAUUUACACUGUCUGUCUGUUCUUGGAUGCUGUCUGCUUUAUCCAGUAGAACCCAGGGCAUAUCAAUCAUAAUUGUUUUAAAUUCCCAGUCUGAUAAUUUCAGCAAUCCUGCUCUGUCUGGUUCUGGUUCUUACUCUUUCUCUUUAAACUAACUUUUGCCUUUUAGUAUGCUUGUAAUUUUUCCUUAGCUGGACAUGGCAUACUGGAUAAGAGGAACUGCUGUAAGCAGGCCUCUAGUAAUGGUGGUAAGCUGUGGGGAGAGGGGCAGUGUUCUAUUGUCCAGGGAUUAGAUGUCACUCUUUUAGUGAGUCUGUGCCUCUGCACUGUGAACUUCAUAAUUUUUCCCACCCUUUAGUUGGGUCAGGAUGUAUAGAGUUGGCUGGAGUUGGAUAUUUCCCUUCCUGUAGGUCACUGAAGCUCUGACUAAAAUUCUGGGUGCGGUGGCUUAUGCAUUUUGGGAGGCCAAGGCAGGUGAAUCACCUGAGGUUGGGAGUUCGUGACCAGACUGAAUCGCCGGAAUCCAGGAGGUAGAGGUUGCAGUGAGCCGAGAUUGUGACACUGCACUCCAGCCUGGGCAACAGUGAGAUACUCUCAAAAAAAAAAGAAAAAAGAAAAAAAA
ensembl:lncRNA